UAUGUCCCUAGCAACAGAAGUGUUGUGGGUGUGGCUGCUGUGUUAUGGGUGCAUCAGUAGGUGGCAGAGAGGAAAGAGUCCAUGUCUAUGUUCAAUGUUCUGAUCUAAGAAAAUCUUACUGAUUGAUAGCUUAACAUU